CUUUCCACGUUGCACAAGCCCAGCGCACGGUACCCACUGGAUAUGCCCGAGGCCUCCAGAGGAAAGGAAAGGAGGAAAAGGGACAGAAGAAAUGUUCACAGGAACUGCAUAUGGGCCUGCUACUUGUGUCAAAAUGUGACUGAACUCUCUUCCAGCAGCUUACUCUGAGGGAGGUCUGAAUGCCAUAUUGUGAGCGGCCCUGCUGAAAGACCCAUGUGGCAAGGAUCUGAGAUCAUUGGCCAACAGGCUGCAAAGAGUCCUACCAACAGCCAGGCUGGUGUUCUUGGAAGUGGAUCUUCUCCUACUCUCCUACUUGAGAUGACUGCAGCCCCAGCUAACACUUCGAUUGCAGCCUUGUUAAGAUAUCACGGGCCAGACACACCCAGCUAAGUUAUGCCUGAGUUACUAGCCCACAGAAAUGAUAAGAUAAUAAAUAUUUGCUGUUUUAAGCUGCUAAGUUUUGGGUUAAUUUGUUAUACAACAAUGGAUAACUAAUACAAGUGCAGUCAUUGAUCUCAUUGAACACACCCGUAAUUCUUUGGAAAAAUGUCUACUUUCUCACCAAACUAAAAUCCAUUAAUUCCAGUAGUUAGGUGUUUGGCAAUGCCUUUAAAACGAUGCAUAGAAGUACAUGGCCAGGUCUUUAAAAUUGCGUUGCUAGACUGAAGAAGAGCUGUCUGACUUACUGGGCUUCCCACGUUCCUGCCUUCAGUUCCUGGGUUAGUGUCACAGGUUGCGGAUUUUCCACUCCAUCUCCCAGUCAUGUCUCUGGCACUUCCCCCGCUUGGCUCCUAGUAAUCAACUUUGGCUGACCUCUAACUCUCCACCUCCUGGACCACAAAAUAAACCCA
ensembl:lncRNA novel transcript